rnacentral:rRNA from 1 species
UACAGAGGGGGCAAGCGUUAUUCGGAAUUAUUGGGCGUAAAGGGCGCGUAGGCGGCCAGGCAAGUGGAAGGUGAAAUCCCUCGGCUUAACCGAGGAACUGCCCUCCAAACUGCUUGGCUUGAGACCGGGAGAGGUGAGUGGAAUUCCCAGUGUAGCGGUGAAAUGCGUAGAUAUUGGGAGGAACACCAGUGACGAAGGCGGCUCAGUGGACCGGUACUGACGCUGAUGCGCGAAAGCGUGGGGAGCAAACGGG